rnacentral:rRNA from 1 species
AAAGCUCAAAUUUGAAAUCUGGCACCUAUGGUGUCCGAGUUGUACUUUGGAGAGGCAUCUUCUGGAGGGACCCAGCCUAUGUGCCUUGGAACAGGACAUCAUAGAGGGUGAGAAUCCCGUCCUUGCUUGGCUGGAUGUUCCCUCCUGUAUGUAGUGUCUUCUACGAGUCGAGUUGUUUGGGAAUGCAGCUCAAAAUGGGUGGUAAAUUUCAUCUAAAGCUAAAUAUUGGCGAGAGACCGAUAGCGCACAAGUAGAGUGAUCGAAAGAUGAAAAGCACUUUGAAAAUAGAGUCAAAAAGUACGUGAAAUUGUUGAAAGGGAAGCGCUUGAGACCAGAGUCAGCCUUUGGCAAACAACUGUCCUUUUGGGCGGUGCACUUGUCACUGGUUGGGCCAGCAUCGGUUGGGACGGCAGGAUAAAGGCCCAGGGAAUGUGACUCCUUUAUGGAGUGUUAUAGCCCCAGGCGACAUGCUGUCAGCCC